GACGGAGGAUGCAAGCGUUAUCCGGAAUCAUUGGGCGUAAAGCGCGCGUAGGCGGCCUCAUAAGUCCGUUGUGAAAGUCAAAGGCUCAACCUUUGAAAGCCGAUGGAUACUGUGAGGCUAGAGUCCGGAAGAGGCGAGUGGAAUUCCUGGUGUAGCGGUGGAAUGCGCAGAUAUCAGGAGGAACACCAAUAGCGAAGGCAGCUCGCUGGGACGGUACUGACGCUAAGGCGCGAAAGCGUGGGGAGCGAACAGG
rnacentral:rRNA from 1 species